rnacentral:lncRNA from 1 species
GACUGGUGGGGAAGUGGGGAGGGACAGGCACUCGCGAAAGCUGGAAAAAGGCUAGUGGAGGAAUGGUCAUCACAGCCGAAAACAACUGCACACGCCUGGUUAUCUAAGCGCAUCUCCUAAGGCCUUCUUUAGUUCCUCAAAAAUUUUACAAAAUUUUUCAGAUUUCACGUCACAUCGAAUCUUUAGACGUAUGCAUAGAGUAUUAAAUAUAAAAAAAAAUAAAAACUAAUUGCACAGUUUGGUCGGAAUUGACGAGACAAAUCUUUUGAGCCUAGUUAGUCUAUAAUUGAAUAAUAUUUGUCAAAUACAAACGAAAGUGCUACUAUUCCUAUUUUGCAAAAAAAAAUUUGGAGUCCUAGUCCCUGAUAAACUGGUCACGCGAUCUUUUUUCUUUUAUUAAAAAAAAGAUUCAAGCUGUUUCUUCUGUAAUCGUUUUGCGCUGCAUGUGCAGCUAUGUGCUACUGCAAAGCAACGGAUUUGACUUGGCAGUUGGCACGAUCGAGUGUAUCGGGGCGUCCUUAAUCUUGUCACUCGUGCUGU